GAUGAACGCUGGCGGCGUGCCUAAUACAUGCAAGUCGAACGCUGGAGAUCUAGCUUGCUAGAUCGAAGGAGUGGCGCACGGGUGUGUAAUACAUAAGCAACCUACCCACGAAGACUGGGAUAAUCUCUGGAAACGGGGACUUAUACCGGAGAGGUAAUCGGAAGGCCUUUUUUGGUUAUUAAAUGAUAAAAACACUGGUGGAGGGGGUUAUGGCGCAUGAGUUGGGGGGUGAUGUAACGGCCCACCAAGACGAUGGUGCGUAGCCGUCCUGAGAGGGUGAGCGGCGACAUUGGGACGGAGACACGGCCCAGACUCCUACGGGAGGCAGCAGUAGGGAAUGUUCGGCACUGGGGGCAACCCUGACCGCGCAACGCCGCGUGAGUGAAGACGGCCUUCGGGUUGUAAAGCUCUGUUGUAAGGGAAGAACGGUAGAUAGAGAAUAUCUAAGUGACGGUACCUUACCAGAAAGCCACGGCUAACUACGUG
rnacentral:rRNA from 1 species